rnacentral:rRNA from 1 species
AUUAGAAGCAACGAGAAGACCAUAUCAGGGCUUGACAUAUACAGGAAUAUAUAAGAGAUUAUAUAGCUCUACGGAGUCUGUAUACAGGUGGUGCAUGGUUGUCGUCAGCUCGUGUCGUGAGAUGAUGGGUUAAGUCCCGUAACGAGCGCAAAAAAAAAUGGCUAGUUGCUAACAUUAAGUUGAGGACUCUAGCAAGACUGCCGUUGUUAAAACGGAGGAAGGUGGGGACGACGUCAAAUCAUCAUGCCCUUUAUGUCCUGGGCUACACACGUACUACAAUGGGUAAGACAGAGGGAAGCGAAAGUGCGAACUGGAGCAAAACCCUAAACUUAUUCUCAGUUCGGAUUGGAGUCUGAAAUUCGGCUCCAUGAAGCUGGAAUUGCUAGUAAUGGCAUGAAAGGAUACUGCCGUGAAUACGUUCCCGGGCCUUGUACACACCGCCCGUCACACCAUGAGAGUUGGGAAUACCCGAAGCUUUAGCUAACUUUAAAGAGGCAGCAGUCGAAGGUAGACGCCUCUUUUCUGAAGUCGUAACAAGGUAUUCUAAUAG